GAUGAACGCUGGCGGCGUGCCUAAUACAUGCAAGUCGAGCGAACGGACGAGAAGCUUGCUUCUCUGAUGUUAGCGGCGGACGGGUGAGUAACACGUGGAUAACCUACCUAUAAGACUGGGAUAACUUCGGGAAACCGGAGCUAAUACCGGAUGAUAUUUUGAACCGCAUGGUUCAAAAGUGAAAGACGGUCUUGCUGUCACUUAUAGAUGGAUCCGCGCUGCAUUAGCUAGUUGGUAAGGUAACGGCUUACCAAGGCAACGAUGCAUAGCCGACCUGAGAGGGUGAUCGGCCACACUGGAACUGAGACACGGUCCAGACUCCUACGGGAGGCAGCAGUAGGGAAUCUUCCGCAAUGGGCGAAAGCCUGACGGAGCAACGCCGCGUGAGUGAUGAAGGUCUUCGGAUCGUAAACCUCUGUUAUUGGGGAAGAACAUAUGUGUAAGUAACUGUGCACAUCUUGACGGUACCUAAACAGAAAGCCACGGCUAACUACGUG
rnacentral:rRNA from 1 species